rnacentral:rRNA from 1 species
CCCUUAGAUGUUCUGGGCGGCCCGCGCACUACAUUGGCACUCUCAAUAAGUUCCUAGAUCUAAAACUUUGGGGUAUUCUAUUAAGUGGUGUCGUGACUGGGAUUAACCCUUGCAAUUAUUGGUUACGAACGAGGAAUUCCUUGUAAUCGCGGUUUAUCAGCCCGCGUUGAAUGCGUCCCUGCCCUUUGUACACACCGCCCGUCGCUCCUACCGAUUGAGCGAUCCGGUGAAUGUUUUGGACUGGCGUCAGAAGCGGUUCGCUCCUGACACUACGAAAUUUUGUAAACCUUAUCGCUUAGAGGAAGGAAAAGUCGUAACA